rnacentral:lncRNA from 1 species
CUGAAAAGAGUUUCAAUGAUACUAGGAUAGAGAUCAUGGUAUAUCUCACUAAUAAAUAGAAUUGAACCUAUGGGGUCACACAAAUAAGAGAACCAAUUUGGAUUGACCAAUUAGACUUGUGAAGUCCUAAUUAGGAUUUAAUAAAAUCCUAUUGGAUUUAAGAAACCUUUUCUAGCACAUGAUUAAACCAAAUUCCUCUUUCAACUUGGAUUCCUUAUUUGAUAAGGAUUAGACCAAGUUAGUUACAUGCAUUAGACCUAAUCCAAAUUAGAUUUGAAAUUGGGUUUAAGGGGCUUAAUUAUUGGGUGCCAACAUGCUUUGG